rnacentral:rRNA from 1 species
AUCAACGCUGGCGGCGUGCCUCAGACAUGCAAGUCGAACGAUUAAAGCUCCCUUCGGGGAGUGCAUAGAGUGGCGCACGGGUGAGUAACACGUAAAUAAUCUACCCUCGAGUGGGGAAUAACGUCCGGAAACGGGCGCUAAUACCGCAUAAUGCAGCGGCACCGCAAGGUGACAGUUGUUAAAGAUUUAUUGCUUGAGGAGGAGUUUGCGGCAGAUUAGCUAGUUGGUAAGGUAAUGGCUUACCAAGGCUACGAUCUGUAUCCGGUCUAAGAGGACGGUCGGACACACUGACACUGAAUAACGGGUCAGACUCCUACGGGAGGCAGCAGUCGGGAAUUUUGGGCAAUGGGGGAAACCCUGACCCAGCAACGCCGCGUGAAGGAUGAAGUUUUUCGGAAUGUAAACUUCGAAAGAAUAGGAAGAAUUAAUGACGGUACUAUUUAUAAGGUCCGGCUAACUACGUGCCAGCAGCCGCGGUAAUACGUAGGGACCAAGCGUUGUUCGGAUUUACUGGGCGUAAAGGGCGCGUAGGCGGCGUGGUAAGUCAGUUGUGAAAUCUCCGAGCUUAACUCGGAACGGCCAACUGAUACUGCUGUGCUAGAGUGCAGAAAGGGCAAUCAGAAUUCUUGGUGUAGCGGUGAAAUGCGUAGAUAUCGAGAGGAACACCUGCGGCGAAGGCGGGUUGCUAGGCUGACACUGACGCUGAUGCGCGAAAGCCUAGGGGAGCAAACGGGAUUAGAUACCCCGGUAGUCCUAGGCCUUAAAGCGAUGAAUACUUGGUGUCUGGGGUUUCAUAGCUCCCGGGUGCCGUCGCUAACGCUUUUAAGCUAUUCCGCCUGGGGAGUACGGUCGCAAGACUGAAACUCAAAGGAAUUGACGGGGACCCGCACAAGCGGUGGAGCAUGUGGUUUAAUUCGACGCAACGCGAAGAACCUUACCUGGACUAGAAUGCUCUGACCGGCGUAGAGAUACGCCUUCCUGGGUAGAGUCCAGGCAACGUGCAAAAGGUGCUGCAUGGCUGUCGUCAGCUCGUGUCGUGAGAUGUUGGGUUAAGUCCCGCAACGAGCGCAACCCUUAUGACAGUUGCCAAUACGGUUCGGCCGGGCACUCUAGUGAGACUGCCUGUUGACUAAAACGGAGGAAGGUGGGAUGACGUCAAGUCCGCAUGGCCUUUAUGUCCUAGGGCUACACACGUGCUACAAUGGCAGUACAAAGCGCUGCAAACCCUGCUAAGGGGGAGCCAAUCGCAAAAAGCUUGGCCUCAGUUCGGAUUGGAGGUCUGCAACUCGACCUCCAUGAAGCGGAAUCGCUAGUAAUCCAGGAUCAGCAUGCUGCGGGUGAAUACGUUCCCGGGUCCUUGUACACACCGCCCGUCACAUCACGAAAGUUGGUUGUACUAGAAGUCGUCGACGCCAACCGUAAGGGAGGCAGGCGCCCACGGUAUGAUCCGAUGAUUGGGGUG